rnacentral:rRNA from 1 species
UACGGAAGGCAGCAGUGGGGAAUAUUGCACAAUGGGCGCAAGCCUGAUGCAGCCAUGCCGCGUGUAUGAAGAAGGCCUUCGGGUUGUAAAGUACUUUCAGUCGUGAGGAAGGUGUUAAGGUUAAUAACCUUAGCAGUUGACGUUAGCGACAGAAGAAGCACCGGCUAACUCCGUGCCAGCAGCCGCGGUAAUACGGAGGGUGCGAGCGUUAAUCGGAAUUACUGGGCGUAAAGGGCACGCAGGCGGUUAAUUAAGUUGGAUGUGAAAUCCCCGGGCUUAACCUGGGAAUGGCAUUCAAGACUGGUUAGCUAGAGUCUUGUAGAGGGGGUAGAAUUCCGAUGUGUAGCGGUGAAAUGCGUAGAGAUGUGGAGGAAUACCGGUGGCGAAGGCGGCCCCUGGACAAAGACUGACGCUCAUGUGCGAAAGCGUGGGGAGCAAACGAGGGAUUAGAUACC